rnacentral:rRNA from 1 species
UACGGGGGGGGCAAGCGUUAUCCGGAAUUAUUGGGCGUAAAGCGUCCGCAGGUGGUUAUCCAAGUCUGCUGUUAAAGCGCGAGGCUUAACUUCGUACAGGCAGUGGAAACUGGGUGACUGGAGUAUGGUAGGGGUAGCGGGAAUUCCCAGUGUAGCGGUGAAAUGCGUAGAUAUUGGGAAGAACACCAGCGGCGAAAGCGCGCUACUGGGCCAUUACUGACACUCAUGGACGAAAGCUAGGGGAGCGAAAGGG